GUGGGGAAUAUUGCACAAUGGGCGCAAGCCUGAUGCAGCAACGCCGCGUGGAGGAAGACGGUUUUCGGAUUGUAAACUCCUGUUCUUAGUGAAGAAUAAUGACGGUAGCUAAGGAGCAAGCCACGGCUAACUACGUGCCAGCAGCCGCGGUAAUACGUAGGUGGCAAGCGUUGUCCGGAAUUACUGGGUGUAAAGGGAGCGCAGGCGGGGGAGCAAGUCAGCUGUGAAAUCCAUGGGCUUAACCCGUGAACUGCAGUUGAAACUGUUCUUCUUGAGUGAAGUAGAGGUUGGCGGAAUUCCGAGUGUAGCGGUGAAAUGCGUAGAUAUUCGGAGGAACACCGGUGGCGAAGGCGGCCAACUGGGCUUUUACUGACGCUGAGGCUCGAAAGUGUGGGGAGCAAACAGGAUUAGAAACCCUAGUAGUCC
rnacentral:rRNA from 1 species